CUGCGCUAGACGGGGAGCCGGCGGUGCCCUGUAAACUGCAAUCCGCCACAGCAGUGUCGAGCGCCGACCGAGGCUUUUCUUAUGGGAGGCCGCGCCGCACAAGGAGCGUUGAUAGCAAGGUCCCGUGCAACUGCAUACUGUGAACCGUGUCAGGGCUUGACCGCAGCAGCACUAAGCAGAACUUGCAGUGUGCCACGGGGAAACUUUGAAGGAGCCACCUAUGCGGUUUCCGCUUCGGUUUGAACUGUCGGAGUCGGUGCGCAG
rnacentral:SRP_RNA from 1 species